UGGAUACAUGAGCACCUAGAGACAAGAGAGGGCGUAGUAAGCGACAAAAUGCUUCGAGGAAUUAAAAAUAAGUGUAGAUCCAAAAAUAACCGAAUUGGUCAACCUUCGAAUUGCUACCGAAUCCACAAGUAGGCAAGAGACAACUAAACAAACUGAAACAUCUUAGUAGCCAGAGGAAAAGAAAGCAAAAGCGAUUCCUGUAGUAACGGCAAGUGAAAGCCUAAAUUGUGAAAGCGAAGUUGUGGAGGAGCAAUAUAAGUGUUGUGUUGCUAGGCGAAACAAUGGAAUGUUGCACCCCACAUGAUGAGAGUCUAGUAGCCGAAAGCAUCAAUAGCUUACACUUUGUGAAUUAGCAAAGACCACCUUACAAUGGUAAAUAUUCUUAGGUGAUGAAUAGCGAAUUAGAACCGUGAAAGAAGUGUGAAAAGAACCCUCAUUGAGGAGUAAAAUAGAACAUGAAA
rnacentral:ncRNA from 1 species